GUUGAACGCUGGCGGCGUGCCUUACACAUGCAAGUCGAACGGUCACAUGCCGCACGGUGUUCACUAGUGUCGACCGGGUGCGUAAUGCUUCCGCACGUGCCCCCUCCUUGGGGGUAUCUACUCACUUGAGUAGCUCAUACCUCAUACCAUCUAAUGAUUAAAGCGGGGUGCUUUAAUGCCUCGCGCGAUUGUUGCGGCCCGUGGCAGAUUAGGUAGUUGGUGAGGUAAAGGCUCACCAAGUCAACGAUGUGUAGCUGGUCUGAGAGGAAGACCAGACACACUGGAACUGAGACACGGCCCAGACUCCUACGGGAGGCAGCAGUAGGGAAUUUUGGGCAAUGGGCGCAAGCCUGAUCCAGCAAUGCCGCGUGAAGGAAGAAGGCCUUCGGAUUGUAAACUUCUUUUGUAAGGAACGAAACAAUGCUGGUUAAUACCCGCGGCUAAUGACGGUACCGUAAGAAAAAGCAACGGCUAACUACGUG
rnacentral:rRNA from 1 species